GACUACUGGGGUAUCUAAUCCUGUUUGCUCCCCACGCUUUCGUACAUGAGCGUCAGUAUCGGGCCAGGAAGCCGCUUUCGCCGCCGGUGUUCCUCCUGAUAUCAACGAAUUUCACCUCUACACCAGGAAUUCCACUUCCCUCUCCCGAACUCAAGCCAGACAGUUUCGGAUGCAGUUCCCAAGUUGAGCUUGGGGAUUUCACAUCCGACUUAUCAGGCCGCCUGCGUACGCUUUACGCCCAGUAAUUCCGAGCAACGCUUGCACCCUCCGUAUUACCGCGGCUGCUGGCACGGAGUUAGCCGGUGCUUUCUUGGGAGGUACCGUCAUUUCUUCGUCCCUCCCGACAGGGCUUUACAACCCGAAGGCCUUCAUCACCCACGCGGCAUGGCUGGAUCAGGGUUUCCCCCAUUGUCCAAUAUUCCCCACUGCAGCCGCCCGUAGG
rnacentral:rRNA from 1 species